GAGUUUGAUCCUGGCUCAGAUUGAACGCUGGCGGCAUGCUUUACACAUGCAAGUCGAACGGCAGCGCGGGCUUCGGCCUGGCGGCGAGUGGCGAACGGGUGAGUAAUACAUCGGAACGUGCCCAGUAGUGGGGGAUAGCUCGGCGAAAGCCGGAUUAAUACCGCAUACGACCUGAGGGUGAAAGCGGGGGAUCUUCGGGCCUCGCGCUAUUGGAGCGGCCGAUGGCAGAUUAGCUAGUUGGUGGGGUAAAGGCCUACCAAGGCGACGAUCUGUAGCUGGUCUGAGAGGACGACCAGCCACACUGGGACUGAGACACGGCCCAGACUCCUACGGGAGGCAGCAGAAGGG
rnacentral:rRNA from 1 species